rnacentral:misc_RNA from 1 species
UCUCGCGAUUUUUUGUGGAUAUUAAUUCCAUACGUUUAAUUAGGAAUCGAUCUACAGUAUCUUUGUAGAUGCUCAUUCAAAGGUUAGUGAAAUUGAUACAGCAUGCACCUUGGCUACCACUUCAAUUCCCAAUUCCUCCAAAUCUAUUCUUAAUGUACAGCACCUGAUGAAUUGUACUAGUACUGAUGGUGUAUAGCAUCAAGUGAAUUACUAUUAUACAGUUUUCUGGCGAAUUGUACUGGUUCUGGUAAUGAAAUCUGGUUUAUCUGUUGCCCUCUUACACUGGCAAUAUCUGAGCCCAUUUUGUACAGGUGAACCAGAUUUGUUUUUUCAUGUUUAUAUGUACCGGUAUGUCUAUAAAUACCAAUAGUUUUAGAAAUUGCACAGAGUUCAUUUUAAACCACUGAUUUGAAUUUUAACUUUUAAAAAAAUCCCUAGAUAUCAAUUGUUUUUCUUAUUUAUAAAAAUAUGAAUUAUAAAGAUCAUACUCGGAUCAAAAUUUUUUUGGUAGAAAUUAUGUCCAUGUCAUAUCACCUGGCUCGUAUACUUUUUCAAUGUAGGCAGUUAUCAGCAUUCAUUUCGGUAAAUGAUAUGUUUUAUCCCUGGACUGCUCAGACAAGAGGCUAGGAAGGCCGUGGUCAUUAACAGGGGGGUAUGUGUUUACAUGGCAACCAAUACUUGGGAACUGGCUGUCAUUCAGUAACUCCACCAUUUCUUAAUUGUUAUGUAUUUGUAUCAGUUGUUGUUAAGUUUCCAUGGUCUUGUAUGUUUCUCUCUCAUCAUGACUGUUAGUCAUUUUUUGUAGAAAUAUGUAGGUAUGUGGACUGGUUAUCAAAUGAUUCAUUAAAUAAAAACAAUAAAAGAGUAGAGCG